rnacentral:rRNA from 1 species
GGCUUGCACAGGUGCUGCAUGGCUGUCGUCAGCUCGUGUCGUGAGAUGUUCGAUUAAGUCCGCUAACGAGCGCAACCCUCGCUGUGUGUUAUAUGUGUCACACGGGACUGCCGGUCUUUAAGCCGGAGGAAGGUGGGGAUGAUGUCAAGUCAGCAUGGCCUUUAUAUCCUGGGCUACACACACGCUACAAUGGCCAACACAAUAGGUUGCUAAGCCGCGAGGUGGCGCCAAUCCAUAAAGUUGGUCUCAGUUCAGAUUGUAGGCUGCAACCCGCCUGCAUGAAGAUGGAGUUGCUAGUAACCGCAGGUCAGCUAUACUGCGGUGAAUACGUUCCCGGGGCUU